rnacentral:rRNA from 1 species
GUACACACCGCCCGUCGCUUCUACCGAUGAAUGAUCCGAUAAAAUAUUGGGAGUUUGAAAGUAWUUUUUKUGAAUAAACGUUAUUAAAUCUUAUUAUUUAGAGGAAGAAGAAGUCGUAACAAGGUAUCCGUAGGUGAACCUGCARAAGGAUCA